rnacentral:lncRNA from 12 species
GUCAAAGAAUUUGUGGCUAUCUUUUUUUUAAAAAGCUUUUAGUUAUUUAUUUACUUACUUAUUUAUUUGUUUGUUUGUUUGUUUGUUUGUUUAUGAGAGAGAGUGAGGGGGUGGGGGAGGAGGAGGAGCAGAGGGAGAGAGACAAGCAGACUCCGUGCUGAGUAUGGAGCCAGACACAGGGCUUGAUCCCACAAUCCUGAGAUCAUGACCUGAGCUGAGCUGAAACCAAGAGUCAGAAGCUCGACUGACUGAGCCACCCAGGCACCCCUGUGGCUAUCUUUUAAAACUUCCCUAACAACCGAUUCUCGGCCUUUUGGCUAAGAUCAAGUGAAAAUUUCCCCAACAAGGUUAGCACUGGACACAUGAAUGAAUGAAUGAAUGAAUGAUACCCACCUAAGCAUACCUAGAAGAAAUGCUCUCUAAAAUUCUUCUUUUUAUAAAAAAAUUUGCAUUUAUUCUGAAAUAUUUUAGGUCCAAAAUUAAGACAGUGGUUUUGUCUUGUGAAAGGGUCUACAUACACUAAAUUCUCUGCAUAAGGUAAAAGGAAGGAAAGAAGAAGAAUAGAAUGAGAGGCAGAGCUGUCAUCUACCCACCUGGCAGGGCGUCCCAGUGGACAGGACUCAAGAUGAGCCACAAGGGCCUCAUCGGAUCCCAGAGAGACACUCCUAGAUUCUUUGACUUGACCAGCAUGGAUUUCAAGCUCUUCUAUCGCAGCAGCCCCUCCAUAGUCGGUCGCUGGCGCAGUAGGCCA